rnacentral:rRNA from 1 species
UAGGGAAUCUUGCCCAAUGGGCGAAAGCCUGAGGCAGCAACGCCGCGUGCGGGAUGACGGCCCUUGGGUUGUAAACCGCUUUCAGCAGGGACGAAGAUGACGGUACCUGCAGAAGAAGCCCCGGCCAACUACGUGCCAGCAGCCGCGGUAAGACGUAGGGGGCAAGCGUUGUCCGGAUUUAUUGGGCGUAAAGAGCUCGUAGGCGGCUCGGCAAGUCAGGUGUGAAAACUCCAGGCUCAACCUGGAGACGCCACCUGAUACUGCUGUGGCUAGAGUCCGGUAGGGGAACACGGAAUUCCCGGUGUAGCGGUGAAAUGCUUAGAUAUCGGGAGGAACACCAGUGGCGAAGGCGGUGUUCUGGGCCGGAACUGACGCUGAGGAGCGAAAGCGUGGGUAGCAAACAGGAUUAGAUACCCCUGUAGUCC